UACGUAGGCAGCGAGCGUUGUUCGGAGUUACUGGGCGUAAAGGGUGUGUAGGCGGUUGUUUAAGUUUGGUGUGAAAUCUCCCGGCUCAACUGGGAGGGUGCGCCGAAUACUGAAUGACUAGAGUACGGGAGAGGAAAGUGGAAUUCCCAGUGUAGCGGUGAAAUGCGUAGAUAUUGGGAGGAACACCGGUGGCGAAGGCGGAUCUCUGGGCCUUACCUGACGCUGAGGCGCGAAAGCUAGGGGAGCGAACAGG
rnacentral:rRNA from 1 species